AUACGUAGGGUGCAAGCGUUAAUCGGAAUUACUGGGCGUAAAGCGUGCGCAGGCGGUUUUGUAAGACAGUGGUGAAAUCCCCGGGCUCAACCUGGGAACUGCCAUUGUGACUGGCAGGCUGGAGUGCGGCCGAGGGGGGUGGAAUUCCGCGUGUAGCGGUGAAAUGCGUAGAUAUGCGGAGGAACACCGAUGGCGAAGGCAAUCCCCUGGGCCUGCACUGACGCUCAUGCACGAAAGCGUGGGGAGCAAACAGGAUUAGAUACCCUGGUAGUCCACGCCCUAAACGAUGUCAACUGGUUGUUGGGGAUUUAUUUUCUCAGUAACGAAGCUAACGCGUGAAGUUGACCGCCUGGGGAGUACGGCCGCAAGGUUAAAACUCAAAUGAAUUGACGGGG
rnacentral:rRNA from 1 species